GUGCUCACUUCGGCAGCACAUAUACUAAAACUGGAACGAUAGAGAGAAGAUUAGCAUGGCCCCUGUGCAAGGAUGACAUGCAAAUUCGUGAAGCGUUCCAUAUUUUU
rnacentral:snRNA from 1 species